GAUGAACGCUAGCGACAGGCUUAACACAUGCAAGUCGAGGGGCAGCACGGGAGUAGCAAUACAACUGGUGGCGACCGGCGCACGGGUGAGUAACGCGUAUGCAACCUACCUAUCAGAGGGGAAUAACCCGGCGAAAGUCGGACUAAUACCGCAUAAAACAGGGGCACCGCAUGGUGAUAUUUGUUAAAGAGAUUCGCUGAUAGAUGGGCAUGCGUUCCAUUAGGUAGUUGGUGAGGUAACGGCUCACCAAGCCGACGAUGGAUAGGGGAACUGAGAGGUUGGUCCCCCANACUGGUACUGAGACACGGACCAGACUCCUACGGGAGGCAGCAGUGAGGAAUAUUGGUCAAUGGGCGGGAGCCUGAACCAGCCAAGUCGCGUGAAGGAAGAAGGAUCUAUGGUUCGUAAACUUCUUUUGCAGGGGAAUAAAGUGCAGGACGUGUCCUGUUUUGUAUGUACCCUGAGAAUAAGGAUCGGCUAACUCCGUGCCAGCAGCCGACGG
rnacentral:rRNA from 1 species